CAUCCGAGUUGAUCCAACAAAAUCCUCCUUCACCACUGUGGCACCAGUAAUUUUCUAAGAAUAGUACAAUAGUCUCAUCCAAUAAGUACAGGAUCUAUCCGUUAUGGUAUGAGAAAUGCGAUAGACUACCACACCUCAGCCUGCCCUAGAGGUCCCAUAAUAAGACAAGGGCAGACCAACCAACCAAUCCUCUCCCCCUCAUAGCCCAAGGAUUGGUUCUAGUCAUCUCAGCUGACCAACUACCCCCUUCUGAAGAAGACAUAGGCAUUUGUCGACUCCAUUAUCGAAGAGAGAUUCUACAUUGAAUAACUUCUCUCUUCAAUAUCACCCCACUUAGGAGGGAGAGGUGGAAAGAAAACUCCAGGAGAUGCAGUAUCAGAUCAAUGCAUUGCAAAACCAAGCUCUGCAGUAGCAAGACAUGGAGCUCAGCUUCAAUACUGACCCUUCAUUCACCUCGAGAA
rnacentral:lncRNA from 1 species